rnacentral:misc_RNA from 1 species
ACUCCAGCCAACCAGUAGCAGUACUCAACAUUGAUUGAACAUGUUCAAAAGCAUCUUUGGAAGAGAUUCACCUGAUGUAUCAAGAGCCAAACAGAUCAAGACCCUAAGGAUUUACAACAAAGAAGUGUCGGAGGUGACGCACAACCAGGAGUACCGUGUGUCGUUCUCGGUGGACGGCGUCGGCUACAGCAUCUCCGUGUACCUGCCGCCCGGCUACCCGGACGAGCGGCCGCUGCUGCAGGUCAGCCCGCCCGUGCAGCACCCCUGGGUGGACGCCGGACAACAGGUGGUCGCCGCGCCCGGCAUCGUCAACUACACGAAGCACUGUGACCUCGGUCAACUAGUGCAGAACAUCGUCCAUGAGCUGGAGCGGAGUCUGAGCGGCGCCGGAGCCUCGGCAGCGCCGGCUGGCUUCUCACCGGGACUGUACCCGGCGGCAGGACCCAGCGUACCGCAGGCAGAGCUAGACUUCCCGGAGCUGUCGAAGCUGAGUCAGGAGGAGCUGGAGGCGCUGCUGGGGGACGAAGACCGGCUGGAGGAGCUGGUGGAGGGCCUGCCGCAGGUGAAGCCGCUGCUGGACGACCUGCAGGCCACCAUGGACCGCGUGGAGAAACUGGUCGGAGAUACGUUAUCCGCGGCGCCACGACUCGCCGAGCGGCAGCAGGCGGUGGAGUCCAGCCGGGAGGCGGUGCGCGCAGAGCUGACCCGGUUCGAGGCCGGGGAGCGGCGCCGGGAGCAGCUGGCCGAGCGGUACGCGCCCGCCCACCUCGAGAGGCUGCUGGAGAUCGCCGCUGCCGAGGCGGAGGAGUGCUCCGACCGGCUGGCGGAGCGGCUCUCGGCCGGAGAGAUCGACGUCGACAGCUUCGUCAAACAGUUCAUGCACCAGAGGACGCUCUGCCAUACCCGGAGAGCCAAGCAGGAGCGUCUGCACGCACAGCUGCGCGAGCUCGACCUGUCCUGGGCCUCCUGAUUGGUCAGUCCCGGUCAGUCCCGUGUGAACGGCCAUCCUGAUUGGUCCAUUUCACACGUCCAACCCUAACGGCCCCCAUUGGUCACUCCCAUGAUCAGGGUGUACGGGAGGGCCAAUCAACCUUCCGAACAUUUUAACACCUUACCUUCUAAAUAUGUAGUACUAACAUCGUAGCCUUUAGGGCCAACGCGCCCAAUCCACAAGCAUUUCCAGAUAGUAGUCUGAUAGCUAGGCGUGCUACCUACGCCAGCGGAAGUCCUACUCAGUAAGAUCUUGCCAGCAAGCGCUCUCUGUCUCCGCUAGUGGCGAGCCGAGCGGUGGCUGUGAUCGGGUACUGAGCCUGAACUCUACUCAGGACGGACUUAGGUCUCAGAAGACGAACCGGCAAGUGACGGGCAGUCAUUCCGAAUCUCCCGGGCGGCGGACACUGGUAACUUAUGACGUCAGACUUAAGCCGCCCGUUUUUGUAGUGUUGAAUACGUGGGCUGAUGCUUCUUAGGAAGACAAGUGAUUACACGAGGCAUUGAAGAGAAAUAUUCAGAUUUAUGUGAUCUUUGAAUGAUGUGUUCCCAAAAUAAGAUGAUUUUAGUAUACGGAAUGAGAAGCAAAUGGUAUUGAGCUGAUUCCAUUGAACACUUCUCCAUGCGUUUUGUGUUUGAUGUGGCGUUUGUAUUAAUGUAUGAUGAUUGAGAGAGAAAGUGCCUUUGGGCUCCGACUCUUCGAGCUGACUGUGGCCCGUGAUUGUCCUGUGAUGGGACUUCCUCCGUAGGUUACCGGGAUCCAGAGUGCCCAAUGCGUGGCUUCCAGCUCCGUCGAUACUCACUAGCUGUAGUUGUCGGAUGGGGAGGAGCUUUGAAUACGCAGCGGCACAGCUGGGGCUGAGGGGGCGACUGCCACCUGUGUUCUCCACUUUGUGAAAAAAUGUCGACUGUGGACUGUGUCUGGAUACUUUGUGAAAUAAGUGUUGACUGUCGAGUAUGUCUGGUAUUUCGUCUGUGAGACUGUUUGUUGUAAAAAUGUGUGGUUUGAGCUGUGCUGUUCACGGUAUGUAUAUGUUCCACAUUGAGUUUAUGUCGCUGUGAGCUAAAGCAAAUACGUGCGAUAACUACGAUGUCUCCGUUUUUAAGUUAAACAUUCUGUUUAAGGGGAUCUUAGGCAGCCCUUUUCGUUUCGCAAGCUCUUUGACCGUCUAUUUGUCAGUUAAACUUUGUAUGAGCGGAGACAAUAGCUCACAUGCUGAAUAUCAUGGCGGUUCCAGCGCAUAGCAAUAGUUGGAAGGGCGGAACAUUUUUAGGUGAAUGCUGAAUAUCGAUUGUGGACCUGGUGUGCCACUAACGGACUCGACCAUGGAAACUGCCCUCGUUUAUCGAAUUCCAGUUUUAUGUGGGGAUUGCCGCUGUAAGUUGGCUGCCAUCGGGGUCACAGCAGGUUAGGCUGCUGCUCAGUCGUCUUGACAGAUGAGUGGUGAAUCGCAUAAGCUUGUUUCAGUUCCUCUGAGCAUAAGGUGUGAAGUGUUUGGAGAACGUAUCAUGUGCGGUCUUUCACGCCGCGGGGCUCUGGUGCUCAGAGUCAGUCGUCAAUUCGUCGGGGCUGUAUCCACGCUGGAGCCUUCAAUACACAUGUAUAAGCUCA